rnacentral:lncRNA from 1 species
GUAGCUGGGAAUUCAGGCGCAUGCCACCACGCCUGGCUGAUUUUUGUAUUUUUAGUAGAAACAGUGUUUCUCCAUGUGGGUCAGGCUGAUCUUGAACUCCCGAACUCAGGGUGAUCUGCCCGCCUUAGCCUCCCAAUGUGCUGGGAUUACAGGCGUGAGCCACCGCGCCUGGCCUAAGAGACAUAUCUGAGGGAGAACUGCUAGUGUUUAAUGGCUACUUCCAUGAGAAGUAAGAAAGGAGAAGUGGAGAAUAAAUCCAAGAUUGACCGGUUGAAUGAAACAAGUAUGUGGUAGGCUGCCUUUGUUAGAAAGGGGAUGAUAUGGUAGGAAAGUAUCCCAUUUUGGACUUAAGACACCAUGACAAAUGACGACACAUAGAUAGAUCUAUCAGACAGUUGGAAAUAGCUACUUCACGUUUGGUAAAAUGUUCUCGGGACUGAGAAUAUGGGUAUGAGAGGCUUUAAUAUGGAAGCCAUGGGAAUUUCACUUGUAUGAGGAUGUAAAUUGAUAAAUGGACCAAAGACAUAAACAUAGUGAAAUAGAUGUGUUUAAGUAGCACCUAGAGAAGAAACCAGCAAAGGAGACUAAAUAGAGAAAGCAGUGACAGCAACUGCAAUCCUGGCUACUCUAAUCAUCUGAUGUUCCAUGAGGUGUCCAAGAACUGAAAAAAAUAAAAAUAUAUCCAGAAUAAUUGGACUGACAAAACAUAUAUUUGCCACCUAUCUAGAACAUUCCAAACACCUAGUAAAAUUCCAAGAAACCUGUUAUUGAUUGAUCUGAUCAACUUAAACAUAAAAUCUAGGUAAGCGGCUGAUCCCUAGAUCCAAGAAUACCAGAAGUCUUUAGUACUUGCAUUUUUUGUCCUGGUUCAUCCACUAAAUUGAGCCAAUCAUUUAAUGUCUAUGAACUGGUUUUCUCAUCUUAAUAAAAGAAAAGCUAUGGAGGCUGGGAUAGCCAGAUGACAUCUUAGGUUACCUACAGCUCUAAAAUUUAAAGUUUCUCCAGAGACUCAAGCAAUUCUGAGAUGGAAAUCUUAAAUAGAUUGACUCAAGAGCAAAUGCAGAAGUAAUGAUUACUCUUUCCUAGUGUCACCCUUCCCCCUACCUCAAUGAUUAAUGAUUGGGAAUCCCCAGAAGGAUAUGGGAGGCAUAGAAUACUUUUCUAGUUCCCGUCAAAAGUGCUGGGUGAUUGUCACCCAUCCACACUGAGUGGUGCCUGGCAUCACAUUGGUGGAAUGGCAUUCAUAUGUAACCCACUGAGAAGUACCUCUCCUUCAGUACCUUUGCAGUGACUCACCAGACACCUGAUACUCCCCUACCUCCCAGUGGAAUCCCAUAAGCUUUCUUCAGGUAGUUGUGCUAAAUGAGUCUGAGUUCUUUGAGGAACUCUGUAAGGUUCAGUACACAUUCAAGGUCUCAGGAGUUAAGAUUUCUCCCCACCCCCACCCACCCACCAACAGAAUUAAAAAAAAAAA